CUAUCCAUCAUAACAGUGCAUCUAUCAUGAUAAAAGUGCAUCUAUACAUCAUAAAAGUGCAUCUAUCCAUGAUAAAAGUGCAUCUAUCCAUCAUAACAGUGCAUCUAUCAUGAUAAAAGUGCAUCUAUCAUCAUAAAAGUGCAUCUAUCCAUCAUAACAGUGCAUCUAUCAUGAUAAAAGUGCAUCUAUCAUCAUAAAAGUGCAUCUAUCCAUCAUAACAGUGCAUCUAUCAUGAUAAAAGUGCAUCUAUCAUCAUAAAAGUGCAUCUAUCCAUCAUAAAAUGCAUCUAUCAUCAUAAAAGUGCAUCUAUCCAUCAUAAAAGUGCAUCUAUCCAUCAUAAAAGUGCAUCUAUCCAUGAUAAAAGUGCAUCUAUCCAUCAUAAAAGUGCAUCUAUCCAUCAUAAAAGUGCAUCUAUCCAUCAUAAAAGUGCAUCUAUCCAUGAUAAAAGUGCAUCUAUCCAUGAUAAAAGUGCAUCUAUCCAUGAUAAAAGUGCAUCUAUCCAUCAUAAAAGUGCAUCUAUCCAUCAUAAAAGUGCAUCUAUCCAUGAUAAAAGUGCAUCUAUCCAUCAUAAAAGUGCAUCUAUCCAUCAUAACAGUGCAUCUAUCAUGAUAAAAGUGCAUCUAUCAUCAUAAAAGUGCAUCUAUCCAUCAUAAAAGUGCAUCUAUCCAUCAUAAAAGUGCAUCUAUCAUGAUAAAAGUGCAUCUAUCAUCAUAAAAGUGCA